ACACGUAGGGGGCGAGCGUUGUCCGGAUUUAUUGGGCGUAAAGAGCUCGUAGGCGGCUCGGUAAGUCGGGUGUGAAAUCCUCAGGCUCAACCUGGGGUGGCCAUUCGAUACUGCUGUGGCUUGAGUCCAGUAGGGGAGUGUGGAAUUCCCGGUGUAGCGGUGAAAUGCGCAGAUAUCGGGAGGAACACCGGCGGCGAAGGCGGCACUCUGGGCUGGUACUGACGCUGAGGAGCGAAAGCGUGGGUAGCGAACAGGAUUAGAUACCCUGGUAGGCCACGCCGUAAACGUUGGGCACUAGGUGUGGGGCCUUCUUCAACGGGUUCCGUGCCGUAGCUAACGCAUUAAGUGCCCCGCCUGGGGAGUACGGCCGCAAGGCUAAA
rnacentral:rRNA from 1 species